rnacentral:rRNA from 1 species
UACGGGGGGGGCAAGCGUUGUUCGGAGUUACUGGGCGUAAAGGGCUCGUAGGCGGCCAACUAAGUCAGACGUGAAAUCCCUCGGCUUAACCGAGGAACUGCGUCUGAUACUGGAUGGCUAGAGAUUGGGAGAGGGAUGCGGAAUUCCAGGUGUAGCGGUGAAAUGCGUAGAUAUCUGGAGGAACACCGGUGGCGAAGGCGGCAGCCUGGACCAACACUGACGCUGAGGAGCGAAAGCCAGGGGAGCAAACGGG